GACGAACGCUGGCGGCGUGCUUAACACAUGCAAGUCGAACGGUAAGGCCCUUCGGGGUACACGAGUGGCGAACGGGUGAGUAACACGUGGGUGAUCUGCCCUGCACUUCGGGAUAAGCCUGGGAAACUGGGUCUAAUACCGGAUAGGACCACUGCCUGCAUGGGUGGUGGUGGAAAGCUUUUGCGGUGUGGGAUGGGCCCGCGGCCUAUCAGCUUGUUGGAGGGGUGAUGGCCUACCAAGGCGACGACGGGUAGCCGGCCUGGGAGGGUGACCGGCCACACUGGGCCUGGGAUACGGCCCAGACUCCUACGGGAGGCAGCAGUGGGGAAUAUUGCACAAGGGGCGCAAGCCUGAGGCAGCGACGCCGCGUGAGGGAUGACGGCCUUCGGGUUGUAAACCUCUUUCAGCACCGACGAAGCGCAAGUGACGGUAGGUGCAGAAGAAGGACCGGCCAACUACGUGCCAGCAGCCGCCGUAACAC
rnacentral:rRNA from 1 species